ACUGUGCCUCUCCAAAAUCGUCGUCUCACCUCUUCCUCUUCACCUUCAUUGGUUUCGAUCGGGCUCUCCACUGAGCUUUGAUUCUCGAUCAGGCAUCGCACCAUCUCAGUGAGCGCGCGGGGGCACUACAAGCGGGCGUGGAGGCCAUCGACCACCACAUCGGCGACAUGGCUACGUCUAGGGCGAGGGCUCCGACAGAGGAAUGAGGAAGGGAAGGUGAGAAUGCCUCCCAGGAUAUGACAGAAGGCCUACGGACGGAGUAAACGAGGACGCGGGAUGGACGCAUGACACUGUCCGAUCGUUUUGGGAGUGCAGAGCAUACUUGUACAUUGUGAGAGAUUCUUCAUUGGUAUAGGAAGAUGUUAGAGGAUUCAUUACUCCUUUGUGUUAAACUCUUGUUUGAGGUGCUGUCAUUUACAUUGAAUAAUAUGAAUUGUACUAUGGUUAUUUUCA